rnacentral:rRNA from 1 species
CGAGCGCUUCACUUCGGUGAGGAGCGGCGGACGGGUUAGUAACGCGUGGGAACAUACCCUUUUCUAAGGAAUAGCCACUGGAAACGGUGAGUAAUACCUUAUACGCCCUUCGGGGGAAAGAUUUAUCGGUGAAGGAUUGGCCCGCGUUAGAUUAGAUAGUUGGUGGGGUAACGGCCUACCAAGUCGACGAUCUAUAGCUGGUUUGAGAGGAUGAUCAGCAACACUGGGACUGAGACACGGCCCAG